GACGAACGCUGGCGGCGUGCUUAACACAUGCAAGUCGAACGGUAAGGCCCUUCGGGGUACACGAGUGGCGAACGGGUGAGUAACACGUGGGUGAUCUGCCCUGCACUUCGGGAUAAGCCUGGGAAACUGGGUCUAAUACCGGAUAGGACUCCGGACUGCAUGGUCUGGGGUGGAAAGCUUUUGCGGUGUGGGAUGGGCCCGCGGCCUAUCAGCGUGUUGGUGGGGUGAUGGCCUACCAAGGGGACGACGGGUAGCCGGCCAGAGAGGGUGACCGCCAACAAUGGGACUGAGAUACGGCCAAGACCCCUACGGGAGGCAGCAGAGGGGAAGAUUGCACAAUGGGCGCAAGCCUGAUGCAGCGGCGCCGCGGGGGGGAUGACGGCCUUCGGGUUGUAAACCUCUUGCAGUAGGGACGAAGCGCAAGUGACGGUACCUACAGAAGAAGCACCGGCCAACUACGUGCCAGCAGCCGCCGUAA
rnacentral:rRNA from 1 species